rnacentral:rRNA from 1 species
ACCUAAAAUCUAGCCCUCAGCCCCCAUAUGCGCCCCUCUACCCACUACCUUAAAACAAAACAUUUUAAUAUUCUAGUAAAGGCGAUAGAAAAAUUUAUUCGAGCUAUACUGUAAGUACCGCAAGGGAAAGAUGAAAUAAAAAUGAAAUAAACAAUUAAGUACAGAAAAGUAAAGCUUCAGUCUUGUACCUUUUGUAUUAUGGUUUAACUAGUCCUUAUCAAGCAAAACGAAUUUAAGUUUGCUCCCCCGAAACUAAGCGAGCUACUUCAAGGCAGCCUAACGGGCCAACCCAUCUCUGUAGCAAAAGAGUGGGAAGACCUUCAAGUAGAGGUGACAGACCAAUCGAGCCUAGAAAUAGCUGGUUACCUGGUAAAAGAAUUUUAGUUCUACCUAAAGUUAAACAAUGCCUAAAAACAAGCCCUCCUACUUUAGAAGUAUUCAAAUAAGGUACAGCUUAUUUGAAACAGGAUGCAACCUAGAACAACGGGUUAUUAAAUAGCAACGUAUCAAAGUGGGCCUAAAAGCAGCCAUCUUUAAAAUAGCGUCAAAGCUUAACUACACCAUGCCCUAAUCUCUCCAAUCAACUUAAACCCUUAACUAACACCGGGUGCUUCUAUAUUUUUAUAGAAACCAUUAUGUUAAAACUAGUAACAAGAAGUAACCCUUCUCUUUAAAUGUAAGAGUAAGCCAGAAAGGAUUAACCACUGCCAAUUAACACAUAUGACCCUAAAUUAGUAACAUUACAAGAAAACCCUACUGAUAUAAGUGUUAAUCUAACACAAGAACAUUUUAAGAAAGAUUUUUAAAAAAGGAAGGAACUCAGCAAAUAUCAGCCUCGCCUGUUUACCAAAAACAUCGCCNCUUGAAUUAACAUAAGAGGUCCAGCCUGCCCAGUGACCCAGUUCAACGGCCGCSGKWWYCYWAMCSKKSSRAAGGUAGCGUAAUCACUUGUUCUUUAAAUGAGGACUAGUAUGAACGGCAUCACGAAGGCUCUACUGUCUCCCCUUUUUAAUCAGUGAAACUAAUCUUCCCGUGAAGAAGCGGGAAUGCUAUAAUAAGACGAGAAGACCCUAUGGAGCUUUAAACUAUUUAACACCUGCUGGCCCCCCCCCCCACUUUCAGUAGCCUCACAAAAACACAGCACUAUGAUUUUAUGUUUUCGAUUGGGGUGAUCACGGAGUAAAAAUUAACCUCCACGCCAAAUGGGCUCAACCCCUGAACUAUAAGCCACAACUUUAAGUACUAAAAAAUUAUUGUUUAUUGACCCAAUAACUUGAUCAACGAACCAAGUUACCCUAGGGAUAACAGCGCAAUCCUCUUCAAGAGCUCCUAUCGACAAGUGGGUUUACGACCUCGAUGUUGGAUCAGGGUGUCCGAGUGGUGCAGCCGCUACUAACGGUUCGUUU